GUCCCUAUCACUUUCUUUUGAAAUUGAGUUACUAGGGGCCAGUCUUUAGCGUUAUCAGAAACAAUGGCGGCGUACACAUGUCGUUUGAUGUCUGAACGAAACUAGCAAGUUUCAACCGAGUUUCUGAUUCUGUAAACGUCUAAUGUGGAUGUCUCAGUGGUUUAAUAAUUGCAACCAAAAGUUUAUACAGAGCACCAUUCGUCUACAUAAUUGAAUGAAGUUUUGAAAACGCUUCGUUGAAAGGAAAGUGAUCGAUUCCUGGAGCAUGAAUAUUUUCGAUGUUUUGUGCUUGUAACUCCACAAUCUUUGAACCAGGAGCUGUUCCUUAGCCGUCACUGUGAGCCGACCUUUGAUCUACAUCCUUCACUAAUGCCAGACUUAUCUUGAAAUAUUAAGAGAUACCUCUUUUAUUGUCAGUUCUCGCACUAUUUCAUUUAUGCACCUAUAGUUUGCAGUAAAACUAAAAACUAAAAACAGUAAUUACGAACAAAUAAAGGAAAUUCAUUGCUAAGAACGUUUCAAGUAAAGCC